UACGGGAGGCAGCAGUAAGGAAUAUUGGUCAAUGGAGGCAACUCUGAACCAGCCAUGCCGCGUGCAGGAAGACGGCCCUACGGGUUGUAAACUGCUUUUGUACCGGAAUAAACCUUUUCACGUGUGAGAAGCUGAAUGUACGGUAAGAAUAAGGAUCGGCUAACUCCGUGCCAGCAGCCGCGGUAAUACGGAGGAUCCAAGCGUUAUCCGGAUUUAUUGGGUUUAAAGGGUGCGUAGGCGGCUUAUUAAGUCAGGGGUGAAAGGCGGUAGCUUAACUAUCGGAGUGCCUUUGAUACUGAUGAGCUUGAAUGCAGCUGAGGUAGGCGGAAUGUGACAAGUAGCGGUGAAAUGCAUAGAUAUGUCACAGAACACCGAUUGCGAAGGCAGCUUACUAAAGUGCGAUUGACGCUGAGGCACGAAAGCGUGGGGAUCAAACAGGAUUAGAUACCCUGGUAGUCCACGCCCUAAACGAUGAAUACUCGAUGUUGGCGAUAUACGGUCAGCGUCUAAGCGAAAGCGUUAAGUAUUCCACCUGGGGAGUACGCCCGCAAGGGUGAAACUCAAAGGAAUUGACGGGGGCCCGCACAAGCGGAGGAGCAUGUGGUUUAAUUCGAUGAUACGCGAGGAACCUUACCCGGGCUUGAAAGUUAGUGAAUGAUACAGAGACGUAUCAGUCCUUCGGGACACGAAACUAGGUGCUGCAUGGCUGUCGUCAGCUCGUGCCGUGAGGUGUUGGGUUAAGUCCCGCAACGAGCGCAACCCCUGUGUUUAGUUGCCAGCACGUAAUGGUGGGGACUCUAAACAGACUGCCUAUGCAAAUAGAGAGGAAGGAGGGGACGACGUCAAGUCAUCAUGGCCCUUACGUCCGGGGCUACACACGUGCUACAAUGGACAGUACAGAGGGCCGCUACCUGGCAACAGGAUGCCAAUCUCAAAAAGCUGUUCACAGUUCGGAUCGGGGUCUGCAACUCGACCCCGUGAAGUUGGAUUCGCUAGUAAUCGCGUAUCAGCAAUGACGCGGUGAAUACGUUCCCGGGCCUUGUACACACCGCCCGUCAAGCCAUGGAAGCUGGAAGUGCCUGAAGUGCGUAACCGCAAGGAG
rnacentral:rRNA from 1 species